rnacentral:lncRNA from 1 species
AUGAGCACCAAUGUGUGGUGUGGAGUGUGGUUCUUGCGAGAUGAAGACGGGCACAGCGAGUGCACCGCCUGCCCUGACCGCGCCCACGCAGAGGCUGUGCUCGCUGUUGGCCCUGGCACCACGGCUGUGGGCUGCCAGAAGAGCCCCACUGCUCAGCCUGCAAAGCCAGUGCAGUAUCAGCCUCAGCAGAAGAUGGAGCCUGGGCUGAAACAGCAAUCCAGGCCGGCGAAACGCUUCCCCUUCCGAAGCGUCAAGGUCCUGCCCACGAGUUGUGCUGGACCCUGAGCCGCCGAAGCCAUCCUGAGGCGCUAGAGAGGAAAAGGAGGGGCCCCGUUCUCACCUUGGCCGGAACGCCCCCAAAACAGCUCGCCUUCACUCCUCACCUCUUCGAACAUCUCUGAGAGACGGAGUUUCGUUUUCAGCAGGUCACGUCCUGCAGGUGCAGCGCGUGCCUGAAUAUUUUACCGCUGUGAUAGCAGACCCACAUACUUUAAAGAGCAAAAUUCCUCAUCCUCUCUCAAUUACUUAUACUAACGUAGACUCGAUGCUUUUUCAAGGCGAGCUCUCGUUCGAGAAAAUAAAACCUGUCUGCGCAGCCAUUCCGGGAAUAUCGAGAUGGGUUUUGGAAACAAUUCGACGAGGCGACUCACUGCAGUUCACUCAAGUGCUUACUUUCACAUCCACAUAGCCCCCUGUCACAGACCGUUCUUGAGAUUUGUGUACGAGGGAGUGGCCUAUCAGUAUGCACUCCUUCCAUUUGGACUGUCCCUAGCCCCACGCAUUUUUACGAAGUGCAUAGACGCGGAUCUGUCCCCUCUCAGGCAGAUGGGAAUCCGCUAUUGAACCACCUCGACGAUUGGCUGGUUUUUGUCAGAUCAGAACGGGAACUGAACGCUCACAAAGAGCUGCUGCUCAGUCACUUAGAGCACCUCGGGUUGGUCAUCAACCCACGCAAGAGCCAGUUGUUGCCCAGACAAUGAACUGUCUUUCUGGGAAUGGUUCUGGACUCCGCCCUAAUGCGAGCGUGGAUUUUGCCGGAUCAGCCCCUGACUAUUCAGCAAUAGAUGGCCUCCCACCAUCAGGGGACGACACGCCCCCUGAGGGUUUUUCAGAGGCUGCUCGGCCUUAUGGCCACUGCCGCUUCUGUAA